UACGGGGGGAGCAAGCGUUGUUCGGAUUUACUGGGCGUAAAGGGCGCGUAGGCGGUCAGCACGAUUCAGUUGUGAAAUCUCCGGGCUUAACUCGGAAAGGUCAACUGAUACUGUGCGACUAGAGUGCGGAAGGGGCAACUGGAAUUCUCGGUGUAGCGGUGAAAUGCGUAGAUAUCGAGAGGAACACCUGCGGCGAAGGCGGGUUGCUGGGCCGACACUGACGCUGAUGCGCGAAAGCCAGGGGAGCGAACGGG
rnacentral:rRNA from 1 species